UGUGUAGGCGGCCUUCUAAGUUUGGUGUGAAAUCUCCCGGCUCAACCGGGAGGGUGCGCCGAAGACUGGGGGGCUAGAGUGCGGGAUGGGAGAGUAGAAUUCCUGGUGUAGCGGUGAAAUGCGUAGAUAUCAGGAGGAAUACCUGUGGUGUAGACGGCUCUCUGGACCGCAACUGACGCUGAGACACGAAAGCGUGGGUAGCAAACA
rnacentral:rRNA from 1 species